CCUAAAAGAAUAAAUUCUUAUUAUUACGUGAGCAAUACAUGGCAAUACUUCUGUUGCCUGUAAGAGCAGUAGACAAGACUCGAGAGAUCUGGAAACUUACCAGUUGCCAAGACAGUGAACAUUUAGUGCCCUGAACCGUUACAGCCCCAUGUGUCACAGAUUUCUUGGUUGUCAAGAGGCAGCAAAGAUAGUAUCAGAGAAAUUUCCAAAUUCCAAAGAGACUUUUUGAAGUCUCUUGAUAAAAAAGUCGCUUUUUUUUUUCAGUUAUAAAACAAAUUAUAGGCGGUUGAGUGGACAAAGGGCCAGACAAAAUAAGGACUUUAUUGGUUAACUAAAGAUUUAUCUUCCUACUCCUGGGAACUAAUUCCCUAACCCUUACUUUCCACAGCCAAAGUCAGAAAACACCCAAAUGCCUAUGACAUUCAUCCAUUUUAAAACCUCGUGAUCUCCACAUAAAAUGUUCACCAUUAAAUAUCUGAACAUAAACAAAUGUGAACUGUCUUGUGUUAUCACCUUUUUUUCUUAUUUACUGCAAUAGUGUGAUUUGUCCUGUACUUUAAAGUGUCAUUCCAUAAAUUAUUGUACAUAAUACUAAUACUGUAAAGAUCUAAUAUUAAAAUAGGAUUAAUUAGUAAGGCAGUGUUUAAACCACUCCCUGCUUUGUAUACUGAAUCAUGAUGGCUUUAAAGAGCCUUCAAUCUGCAAUAAUGGCUUUCCUUUGUUCUUCUUAUUCCAGUUGAGUAAAUUCCAUUCAGAAUAUCUUCUGUUCAACAAAUACACCUGUGGACCAGUGAUUCACAGCCUAGAAUUUAGAAUUUAGAGUUUUGGAGACCCAGAACCCACACAAAAUGCCUGACUAAAUAAAUCAGAAUCUCUCCAGGUGAAAUCCAGGAAUCAGAAUGUUUAAAGUUUCUCAGGUGACUUAAAUGUGCAGCGAAGAUUGAGAACUAUUCUUACAGACUCAAGAUGUGAGAGAUGAAGGAUCUUUGCUCUUCUUUCUCUGAUAAAUAGAUUUAAGGUUAAGAUUCGGUGCCAGAUCACAGGAAAUCUGGUUAAGAACAGCUAGAAAUUUCUAGGGAAAAGGGCAAAAACUUGCUGCUGCCUGUCUCCAUAAUGGAUUCCUUCACAUCAAUGUGGAUGGCAGUUGUAUAUUAAAAAACGAAGAUGCUAACGGUCAGCACCAUAAAGUCAUAUUUGCAGCAGACAAUAUACUACUUUUUAUUGCAUCCACACACUGCCCUUACUGUUGAGAUCUUCAAGGGAGCUGGAGUGGGUUUUUGGCUAAUACACAGACCAUUCUUUAUCUUUCUAACACUGGAGCAACCAAUGGAGAAGACUGAGAACCAGGUGUCCUACCUGUCUUAGGGGAAAAAGGAUCAAUUUUGAUUAAGAUCACUAUCAUUUGUCUUCAGAGGGACCCGGAACUUUACAUCCAGCCUGAAAAGCCAGAAUGCCUCAAGCCAUAGAAGCCAACAGUCCCCUCCUCGCCAGGAACACCUGUGAUGUCCAGUUCCGUUAUAGGCUAAUACCAGGCAAAUUACUGGCAUCACCAGUCUGAACGACAAACUCAAGCAACAGAAGACAAGUACC